rnacentral:rRNA from 1 species
GCUGCUCGAAAUCCGACCUGAACUCAGACGUGAUAACCCGCUGAACUUAAGCAUAUCAGUAAGCGGAGGAAAAGAAACUAACAAGGAUUCCCUUAGUAACGGCGAGUGAAA